GGAUCAUGAUUCAACCAGCUUAUUUCAUUUGUUCAUUCCAGUUGCAUUCUUCAUUGAAUCAGCAGCUCCUUGAGCCUUUUCCUUGAUUUGUUGACCAGACUGCACAAAAUAAAAUAAAAGCAUAUAUACUCCAUUCAUAUUCAUUAUAUAAUACUAACAAGAUGUUGGUCUAGUGGUGUAAGGCUGCAUUGGAUCUCCAAGGUCAAGGGUUCGAUUAUUGGGAGUGACAUUUGUUUUGAGGGACAACUAGGAACCUCGAAUGAGAUUUAUUCCUUACCCAAAAAGGUAAGGGGUACCCUUGGUAGUACCAAAAAAUAUCCAUUGUAUAAUUGAAAUUUGAUAUUUAAAUUUAGGCUAUAAUGUGCAAGUGACAUCAACUUUUCCCAUCUUAAAUGUGUCACAUUCACAUCGAGUUCGGAUAUUCUCCAGUAUUGCAGUUACAAACAACAUGAGAAAACAUAAACUUAUAGCAUUUUUAUCCUUUACAUAGAAUGAUAUAACAGUUUUAAAUAACAACUUGACUCUCUAGUACCGCCGAGAAUUGUUUUUCAUUUGCAUCUAUUUACACCAUUAAUCCAUUUCAAACUAUAAAUGUUAAUAACUUAAAAAAGUGGAACCUCUUGCAUGGAUUCUUUAGCAGAUUGAGCAGCAUUGCUAGCCAUGUCCAUCAUGUUGCUAGCUUUUUCCUGCAAUAUCACAAAAUCUUGUAAGAUCCUAUUCAUUUCCUGUGUAAUUAUUUAUUCAUCAAUAAAUCAUUUAAGUACUAAUUAGAUACUUGUAAAUAAUCAGAAAAUGAAGAGGAUAUAAACUCAUCCAUAAGUUUUAAAAUUGAAUGCAUGUAGAGAAUAGUGUUUUAAAUUGUAGUUAAUACGAUCGUAUUUUUGUAGUUUUAGAGUUUCCAUAAUGAUACAGUGAUCGCAACAAUUACGGCCACAGGUAUAUAUUCCCACAAUUAUGGUAAGCACAACGUAAUCGCGAUAUAAAGCACGAAUUAAAAUAGUAAUAGAGAAUAAAGUACAAGAACCUGAGCUUGGCCCUUGGCUUGUCCAGCAUUGUAGCUAGCAUUUUGAGAGUCCAUAUUCUUUGAAAUUGUUAUAAAUUAAUUAACUGAGUAUUGGAGUGAAAUUGUUUGUGUUUUUC
rnacentral:lncRNA from 1 species